rnacentral:rRNA from 1 species
CAGUGAGGAAUAUUGGACAAUGGGCGCAAGCCUGAUCCAGCCAUGCCGCGUGCAGGAAGAAGCAUCUAUGGUGUGUAAACUGCUUUUGUACGGGAAGAAACACUCCUACGUGUAGGAGCUUGACGGUACCGUAAGAAUAAGGAUCGGCUAACUCCGUGCCAGCAGCCGCGGUAAUACGGAGGAUCCAAGCGUUAUCCGGAAUCAUUGGGUUUAAAGGGUCCGUAGGCGGUUUGAUAAGUCAGUGGUGAAAGCCCAUCGCUCAACGAUGGAACGGCCAUUGAUACUGUCAGACUUGAAUUACUGGGAAGUAACUAGAAUAUGUAGUGUAGCGGUGAAAUGCUUAGAUAUUACAUGGAAUACCAAUUGCGAAGGCAGGUUACUACCAGUGGAUUGACGCUGAUGGACGAAAGCGUGGGGAGCGAACAGGAUUAGA